UGGCCAAAAAGUUCAUUCGGGUUUUUCCAACAAUGUAAUGGAAAAACGUGAACGAACUUUUUGGCCAA
rnacentral:miRNA from 1 species